rnacentral:lncRNA from 1 species
GUUACUUGGUAUCUGUGCCUUAUUUGACCUUUGGUUCCACAUGCCUUGGAUGUGCAUGCACCGUGACGGUUUCAUAGGUACGAACGCACACUCAGGCCCAGUCACUUCGGUUGGUAGUACAGAUUGUGAGGAAAAAGAUGGAGGCAUCCUUAAGGAGGAAAAAUGUUUGCCUUUAGUUCCUGCAUUAUCCUGUACAGAGGGGCUCCUGAGUUUUGGAAGCCUGUUCCCAGUACAGGAGAACAACUCCCCUGUUUGCAGCAGGAGACUUCAGUGCACGGUGACAACGCUGGAGUUCAAGAGGAAGCCAGCAAUGCUGCACCAUUGGCUUCAGACACCAUUGUUGUUGUUUGCCAGUUUUAAACUUAACUAGUUGCAGACGAAGACCACCUUGAAAUGCAGGCUUGUUGGGCUUGUUUUGAAUUUUAACCUCGGAUGGAAGAGCCCUAGUGCUGUCUGUCUCCAUGCGGGAUGAUGAUUGCUAGGCAACAGGUGAUUAUCAACAAAGGAUGCCACGGUUAUACUCUGCAAGGUGGUGUUCCAGUGGCAAACAGCUGUAUAAACUCUUGUAAACAGGAACUACUGACAAAAACCUAUAGUCGACUUUGGGAUCUGACUUUAUUAUUCAGCAACUCAAAGAUGAGUUCUAAUUGGCAGACUUCUGGCACUGGCACUUGUCCUCCUGUUUCUAUAGAAACUGGGUUGGAAGUCAGAGCUGCACAAAGGGAAAGGGUAAGUUUCUUUUAAUUCCAUAUUUAUAAACCCAUAUCUUAUUAACUGUGACAUGUUUUCAGUUUUCACAUAAGAAUAUACAUCCUCGAACUAGAACUCAAAUAUGUACUACUUAUUUUCACUUGAGUGGAAACUGACAUCAAGUCACUAAAUAUAAUAGGAGGGUUUAAAUAUGGAUUUAUUUUUCUUGUGACUGACUUCACAUUUCUUGAAGCAGUGAAUUCAAUGUCAAUUCGCACUUUG